rnacentral:tRNA from 1 species
GCCCAGGUGGUGAAAUUGGUAGACACGCUACUUUGAGGGGGUAGUGCCGGUUACGGUGUGUGGGUUCAAAUCCCGUCCUGGGCA